rnacentral:rRNA from 1 species
UUUCGGUAAAUUCUUAGUGGCGAACGGGUGAGUAACGCGUAGGCAACCUGCCCUUUGGAUGGGGACAACAUUCCGAAAGGAGUGCUAAUACCGAAUGUGAUCCAUUUCUCGCAUGAGAGAUGGAUGAAAGAUGGCCUCUAUUUAUAAGCUAUCGCCAAAGGAUGGGCCUGCGUCUGAUUAGUUAGUUGGUGGGGUAACGGCUCACCAAGACGAUGAUCAGUAGCCGGUCUGAGAGGAUGAACGGCCACAUUGGGACUGAGACACGGCCCAAACUCCUACGGGAGGCAGCAGUGGGGAAUCUUCCGCAAUGGACGAAAGUCUGACGGAGCAACGCCGCGUGAGUGAUGAAGGUUUUCGGACUGUAAAACUCUGUUGUCAGGGACGAAGGUGCGAUCUGCGAAUAGUUGAUCGUAUUGACGGUACCUGACGAGGAAGCCACGGCUAACUACGUGCCAGCAGCCGCGGUAAUACGUAGGUGGCAAGCGUUGUCCGGAAUUAUUGGGCGUAAAGAGCAUGUAGGUGG